rnacentral:misc_RNA from 1 species
UUUUUUGUUAUGGUUUUGUUACGUUCAUAUACUCAGGUUUGUAAAGUGUGGCAAGUGUCGCGCAGCCUUUCAGCGUUGCUAUUCAUGCCAAAUGAUGCACAGAGUAGAAGGAUGAGUGUUGGGCUCCCUAAGGACGCCCUAAUUCAUUAAUGAUCCUUCCGCAGGUUCACCUACGGAAA